GGCAUACGGCUCAGUAACACGUAGUCAACUUACCCUAUGGACGAGGAUAAUCCCGGGAAACUGAGCAUAAUACUCGAUAGAUCAUAAUGCCUGGAAUGGUUUAUGGUUGAAAUGAUUCGUCGCCAUAGGAUGGGACUGCGGCCUAUCAGCUUGUUGGUGAGGUAAUGGCCCACCAAGGCGAUUACAGGUACGGGCUCUGAGAGGAGAAGCCCGGAGAUGGGUACUGAGACAAGGACCCAGGCCCUAUGGGGCGCAGCAGGCGAGAAAACUUUGCAAUGAGCGAAAGCACGACAAGGUUAAUCCGAGUGAUUUCUGCUAAAGAAAUCUUUUGCAAGUCAUAAAACCACUAGUGAAUAAGGGGUGGGCAAGUUCUGGUGUCAGCCGCCGCGGUAAAACCAGCACCUCAAGUGGUCAGGAGGAUUAUUGGGCCUAAAGCAUCCGUAGCCGGCUCUGUAAGUUUUCGGUUAAAUCCAUGUGCUCAACGCAUGGGCUGCCGAAAAUACUGCAUAGCUAGGGAGUGGGAGAGGUAGACGGUACUCGGUAGGAAGGGGUAAAAUCCUUUGAUCUAUCGAUGACCACCUGUGGCGAAGGCGGUCUACCAGAACACGUUCGACGGUGAGGGAUGAAAGCUGGGGGAGCAAACCGGAUUAGAUACCCGGGUAGUCCCAGCCGUAAACGAUGCAGACUCGAUGAUGCAUUGGCAUAUAGCCAGUGCAGUGUCGCA
rnacentral:rRNA from 1 species